AAUGGGAAAGUGUUUGUGUUGUUUCCAGGUGAACCAUCCUUGGAGCUCCUUCUAGUCCCCAGUGAGGAGCCGUCAGGCUCAGGGACCCAGAAACUCAUGUGUUCUGGGUGGAGCUUCAACCCUCAGAUCAAGUGGCUCUCUGGGUCUGAACAGAGUUCUGCAGCAGCCUAUGAGAGAAGGAUGGGGGAAGAUGGACAUGUGGCACUAACCAGUUAUAUCACAGUAACACAGCAGGAUUGGAACCAGGGUAUGGUCUUCACCUGUGAGGUCAUCGACACGGAUCUUCAGAAAACUACAAGGAAGAGCACCAGUUUAUGUACAGCUUUUCCCUCGUCUACUCCAUACCUCCACCUGGAGACCCCCAGAUUCAGGACAGUGAUGACACAGACUGAGGUAACAGCUACAUAUGUGGUCCACUCUACGUAUGACGCCAAAGUGUCCUGGCUUCUGGAUGGAAAAGACCCAACCAGCCGAACCCCAGUGAACCAGGCCAGCAGCACAACUCAGAGCAUCAGCAGUAACCUGACUCUUCCCUCAAGCCAAUGGAAAACCCUGAACACAAUAACAUGCAGAGCUGAACAUCGAUGCUUCAACCCCACACAGAAGACCAGCAAUGUUGAAGGUUAGAAUGGAACUUUGUGAAAAUAUAUACA